rnacentral:rRNA from 1 species
GAUGAACGCUGGCGGCGUGCCUAAUACAUGCAAGUCGAGCGAACAGACGAGGAGCUUGCUCCUCUGACGUUAGCGGCGGACGGGUGAGUAACACGUGGAUAACCUACCUAUAAGACUGGGAUAACUUCGGGAAACCGGAGCUAAUACCGGAUAAUAUAUUGAACCACAUGGUUCAAUAGUGAAAGACGGUUUUGCUGUCACUUAUAGAUGGAUCCGCGCCGCAUUACCUAGUUGGUAAGGUAACGGCUUACCAAGGGAAGGAUGCGUAGCCGACCUGAGAGGGUGAUCGGCCACACGGGAACUGAGACACGGUCCAGACUCCUACGGGAGGCAGCAGAAGGGAAUCUUCCGCAAUGGGCGAAAGCCUGACGGAGCAACGCCGCGUGAGUGAUGAAGGUCUUCGGAUCGUAAAACUCUGUUAUUAGGGAAGAACAAAUGUGUAAGUAACUAUGCACGUCUUGACGGUACCUAAUCAGAAAGCCACGGCUAACUACGUG